rnacentral:rRNA from 1 species
GGUUAAGCGACUAAGCGUACACGGUGGAUGCCCUGGCAGUCAGAGGCGAUGAAGGACGUGCUAAUCUGCGAAAAGCGUCGGUAAGGUGAUAUGAACCGUUAUAGCCGGCGAUGUCCGAAUGGGGAAACCCAGUGUGAUUCGUCACACUAUCGUUAACUGAAUACAUAGGUUAACGAGGCGAACCGGGGGAACUGAAACAUCUAAGUACCCCGAGGAAAAGAAAUCAACCGAGAUUCCCCCAGUAGCGGCGAGCGAACGGGGAGCAGCCCAGAGUCUGAAUCAGCUUGUGUGUUAGUGGAACGGUCUGGAAAGUCCGACGGUACAGGGUGAUAGUCCCGUACACCAAAAUGCACAGGUUGUGAACUCGAAGAGUAGGGCGGGACACGUGGUAUCCUGUCUGAAUAUGGGGGGACCAUCCUCCAAGGCUAAAUACUCCUGACUGACCGAUAGUGAACCAGUACCGUGAGGGAAAGGCGAAAAGAACCCCGGCGAGGGGAGUGAAAAAGAACCUGAAACCGUGUACGUACAAGCAGUGGGAGCACCUUCGGGUGUGACUGCGUACCUUUUGUAUAAUGGGUCAGCGACUUAUAUUCUGUAGCAAGGUUAACCGUAUAGGGGAGCCGCAGGGAAACCGAGUCUUAACUGGGCGUUAAGUUGCAGGGUAUAGACCCGAAACCCGGUGAUCUAGCCAUGGGCAGGUUGAAGGUUGGGUAACACUAACUGGAGGACCGAACCGACUAAUGUUGAAAAAUUAGCGGAUGACUUGUGGCUGGGGGUGAAAGGCCAAUCAAACCGGGAGAUAGCUGGUUCUCCCCGAAAGCUAUUUAGGUAGCGCCUCGUGAAUUCAUCUUCGGGGGUAGAGCACUGUUUCGGCUAGGGGGUCAUCCCGACUUACCAACCCGAUGCAAACUACGAAUACCGAAGAAUGUUAUCACGGGAGACACACGGCGGGUGCUAACGUCCGUCGUGAAGAGGGAAACAACCCAGACCGCCAGCUAAGGUCCCAAAGUCAUGGUUAAGUGGGAAACGAUGUGGGAAGGCACAGACAGCCAGGAUGUUGGCUUAGAAGCAGCCAUCAUUUAAAGAAAGCGUAAUAGCUCACUGGUCGAGUCGGCCUGCGCGGAAGAUGUAACGGGGCUAAACCAUGCACCGAAGCUGCGGCAGCGACGCUCAGGCGUUGUUGGGUAGGGGAGCGUUCUGUAAGCCUGCGAAGGUGACCUGUGAGGGUUGCUGGAGGUAUCAGAAGUGCGAAUGCUGACAUAAGUAACGAUAAAGCGGGUGAAAAGCCCGCUCGCCGGAAGACCAAGGGUUCCUGUCCAACGUUAAUCGGGGCAGGGUGAGUCGACCCCUAAGGCGAGGCCGAAAGGCGUAGUCGAUGGGAAACAGGUUAAUAUUCCUGUACUUGGUGUUACUGCGAAGGGGGGACGGAGAAGGCUAUGUUAGCCGGGCGACGGUUGUCCCGGUUUAAGCAUGUAGGCUGGUUAUCCAGGCAAAUCCGGAUAAUCAAGGCUGAGGUGUGAUGACGAGGCACUACGGUGCUGAAGUAACAAAUGCCCUGCUUCCAGGAAAAGCCUCUAAGCAUCAGGUAACAUCAAAUCGUACCCCAAACCGACACAGGUGGUCAGGUAGAGAAUACCAAGGCGCUUGAGAGAACUCGGGUGAAGGAACUAGGCAAAAUGGUGCCGUAACUUCGGGAGAAGGCACGCUGGUGUGUAGGUGAAGUCCCUGCGGAUGGAGCUGAGACCAGUCGAAGAUACCAGCUGGCUGCAACUGUUUAUUAAAAACACAGCACUGUGCAAACACGAAAGUGGACGUAUACGGUGUGACGCCUGCCCGGUGCCGGAAGGUUAAUUGAUGGGGUUAUCCGUAAGGAGAAGCUCUUGAUCGAAGCCCCGGUAAACGGCGGCCGUAACUAUAACGGUCCUAAGGUAGCGAAAUUCCUUGUCGGGUAAGUUCCGACCUGCACGAAUGGCGUAAUGAUGGCCAGGCUGUCUCCACCCGAGACUCAGUGAAAUUGAACUCGCUGUGAAGAUGCAGUGUACCCGCGGCAAGACGGAAAGACCCCGUGAACCUUUACUAUAGCUUGACACUGAACAUUGAGCCUUGAUGUGUAGGAUAGGUGGGAGGCUUUGAAGCGUGGACGCCAGUCUGCGUGGAGCCAACCUUGAAAUACCACCCUUUAAUGUUUGAUGUUCUAACGUGGGCCCCUGACCGGGGUUGCGGACAGUGUCUGGUGGGUAGUUUGACUGGGGCGGUCUCCUCCCAAAGCGUAACGGAGGAGCACGAAGGUUAGCUAAUCCUGGUCGGACAUCAGGAGGUUAGUGCAAUGGCAUAAGCUAGCUUGACUGCGAGCGUGACGGCGCGAGCAGGUGCGAAAGCAGGUCAUAGUGAUCCGGUGGUUCUGAAUGGAAGGGCCAUCGCUCAACGGAUAAAAGGUACUCCGGGGAUAACAGGCUGAUACCGCCCAAGAGUUCAUAUCGACGGCGGUGUUUGGCACCUCGAUGUCGGCUCAUCACAUCCUGGGGCUGAAGUAGGUCCCAAGGGUAUGGCUGUUCGCCAUUUAAAGUGGUACGCGAGCUGGGUUUAGAACGUCGUGAGACAGUUCGGUCCCUAUCUGCCGUGGGCGCUGGAGAAUUGAGGGGGGCUGCUCCUAGUACGAGAGGACCGGAGUGGACGCAUCACUGGUGUUCGGGUUGUCAUGCCAAUGGCACUGCCCGGUAGCUAAAUGCGGAAGAGAUAAGUGCUGAAAGCAUCUAAGCACGAAACUUGCCCCGAGAUGAGUUCUCCCUGAGACUAUAAGUCUCCUGAAGGAACGUUGAAGACGACGACGUUGAUAGGCCGGGUGUGUAAGCGCAGCGAUGCGUUGAGCUAACCGGUACUAAUGAACCGUGAGGCUUAACCUU